rnacentral:rRNA from 1 species
GACGUAGGGCGCGAGCGUUUGUCCGGAUUUAUUGGGCGUAAAGAGCUCGUAGGCGGCUUGUUGCGUCAGCUGUGAAAUCCCGCGGCUCAACUGCGGGUCUGCAGUCGAUACGGGCAGGCUAGAGUUCGGUAGGGGAGACUGGAAUUCCUGGUGUAGCGGUGAAAUGCGCAGAUAUCAGGAGGAACACCGGUGGCGAAGGCGGGUCUCUGGGCCGAUACUGACGCUGAGGAGCGAAAGCGUGGGGAGCGAACAGG